CCAGGUUCCAAGGGACGCGAACGGCUCCCGGGACGAAAAGGAGAGUGACAGCCGAGUUCUCACAGGAGUGAAGCCACGUGGCGCCGGAGAGCGCGGCGGAAGUAGUAGUGAUGACAAUGACAGGCUGGCGUAGCAGAACUGCGCCACAGAAAUGAGAAAGUGGCUAGAGUACACGCCUAACACUCGCGAGGCCCUUGGGGUCCCUUCCCAGCGCCCCAAGGUUAGUGCUGCCUUUCGGAUUCAUCAGAGAAAAGGCCUGUUGCUGAGGGUGACAGUGGUGACUAUAGAGACUCAAUGUCGGUGUACUGAGAGCAAGUGAGUGUGGGUGCUCAGGCCUGAGUGGGACAUCCACAUCAACACCUGCCAAGGCCCAGGGAGCUUCACGGAAGAGGACUCGGAGAGAAGAUGAGAACAAGGCGAUGAGGGGAAGUGCUGCGGAACACCGUUUCCCAGGCAGAACAUGGCCACUGCACUCCUAAUCGCUCAGCAACUGAGAUGACUUGAGUGAGACCUGCAGAAGACUGGGCCCGUCAGCAUCCCAUCAUGGAUGGAUAAGACUGUAAGCUCUCAAGUCUUGUUCCAGUGUCAUCUGCCUGCCUGCUGUUACGCUCCCAUGAUAAUGUUCAUGGACUUAAUGCCUGAAAAUGUAAGUGCCCAAUAAACUGUUUCUUCUUUAAGUUGCCUUUACAUUUUCUUCACAGCAAUGGAAAAGUGACAAGACACAUAUGUGCAUACAGACAGACAUAAACUAUCAUGCAAUUAUUAGUGAAAAGUAGAAAUC
rnacentral:lncRNA from 1 species